AUACAGAGGGUGCGAGCGUUAAUCGGAAUUACUGGGCGUAAAGCGUACGUAGGCGGACUGAUCAGUUGGGGGUGAAAUCCCAGGGCUUAACCCUGGAACUGCCUUCAAUACUGUCAGUCUUGAGAUUGGAAGACGUGAGUGGAAUUCCUAGUGUAGAGGUGAAAUUCAUAGAUAUUAGGAGGAACACCAGUGGCGAAGGCGGCUCACUGGUCCAAUACUGACGCUGAGGUACGAAAGCGUGGGGAGCAAACAGGAUUAGAAACCCUAGUAGUCC
rnacentral:rRNA from 1 species